GGGUUCGAAUCCUGCUGAAAACUGGGAUUUUUCUUUUUCUUUUUGUUUCUGGCGCCCGUGGAGCUGGGUGGACUCAGAGGCGCCCGAAGAUCCCGAAAUUAAAAAUCCCAGUCUCCACCAGGAUUCGAACCC
rnacentral:pre_miRNA from 1 species